CGCCCCCUUACAGCCUCGCCCCGCCUAGGCCCCGCCCCCCAGGCCGCUGGGCCUUUUCACUCCUGGUGCGCGCAGUUUCUCACACACCCGGAAGCUGAGAGAGGUCUCGCUGCGCAGCAUUUAUUUUUAUCAGAAGAUAACUUCCAUUUGCAAUUCUUCAACCAGAGACAUGGAAUAGGGUGUGUGUGUAUGUUUGGAGCAAGAGAAAAUUGUCACUUCAUGGUGCCUAUUUAAAGGAAAAUUACAACUCCUUUUCUGGAUAGACCUCUGAAG
rnacentral:lncRNA from 1 species